rnacentral:tRNA from 1 species
GAGGUUAUUAGUAAGCUGUAAACAAUAUCUUUUCUCCGGCCUGUCACGCCGGAGGUCGCGAGUUCAAGUCUCGUCACUCGCGCCA